rnacentral:rRNA from 1 species
AGUGAACGCUGGCGGUAGGCCUAACACAUGCAAGUCGAACGGCAGCACAGGAGAGCUUGCUCUCUGGGUGGCGAGUGGCGGACGGGUGAGGAAUACAUCGGAAUCUACUUUUUCGUGGGGGAUAACGUAGGGAAACUUACGCUAAUACCGCAUACGACCUACGGGGGAAAGCAGGGGAUCUUCGGACCUUGCGCGAUUGAAUGAGCCGAUGUCGGAUUAGCUAGUUGGCGGGGGAAAGGCCCACCAAGGCGACGAUCCGUAGCUGGUCUGAGGGGAUGAUCAGCCACACUGGAACUGAGACACGGUCCAGACUCCUACGGGAGGCAGCAGUGGGGAAUAUUGGACAAUGGGCGCAAGCCUGAUCCAGCCAUACCGCGUGGGUGAAGAAGGCCUUCGGGUUGUAAAGCCCUUUUGUUGGGAAAGAAAUCCAGCUGGUUAAUACCCGGUUGGGAUGACGGUACCCAAAGAAUAAGCACCGGCUAACUUCGUGCCAGCCGCCGCAGUAA